rnacentral:rRNA from 1 species
UACGUAGGGGGCUAGCGUUGUCCGGAUUUAUUGGGCGUAAAGAGCGUGUAGGCGGUCAGGUAGGUCCGUUGUGAAAACUCGAGGCUCAACCUCGAGACGCCGAUGGAAACCAUCUGACUAGAGUCCGGAAGAGGAGAGUGGAAUUCCUGGUGUAGCGGUGAAAUGCGCAGAUAUCAGGAAGAACACCCGUGGCUAAGGCGGCUCUCUAGUACGGUACUGACGCUGAGACGCGAAAGCGUGGGGAGCGAACAGG